UAGUUGGUAAGGUAACGGCUUACCAAGGCGACGAUCAGUAGCCGACCUGAGAGGGUGAUCGGCCACAUUGGAACUGAGACACGGUCCAAACUCCUACGGGAGGCAGCCGUGGGGAAUAUUGCACAAUGGGCGAAAGCCUGAUGCAGCAACGCCGCGUGAGUGAUGAAGGCCUUCGGGUCGUAAAACUCUGUCCUCAAGGAAGAUAAUGACGGUACUUGAGGAGGAAGCCCCGGCUAACUACGUGCCAGCAGCCGCGGUAAUACGUAGGGGGCUAGCGUUAUCCGGAUUUACUGGGCGUAAAGGGUGCGUAGGCGGUCUUUCAAGUCAGGAGUGAAAGGCUACGGCUCAACCGUAGUAAGCUCUUGAAACUGGGAGACUUGAGUGCAGGAGAGGAGAGUGGAAUUCCUAGUGUAGCGGUGAAAUGCGUAGAUAUUAGGAGGAACACCAGUUGCGAAGGCGGCUCUCUGGACUGU
rnacentral:rRNA from 1 species